rnacentral:precursor_RNA from 1 species
UGGUGGCAGUCCUCGGUACCCUGCUGCGGGGUCGUGCGAAGGCGGUGCUUGGCGACGUGGAGCUGGCUGGCGGUGAGGCCACGU